CAAGGGGAUCUGUGGGUUUUCUUAGUUCUUCCAUUUUGUGUGAGGAAUGGAAACAGAAGGUGGUCCUUGCACUAGUAAUAAGUACAAUGGAAUCCUACAGUGGCAGUGAACAAUCCUGCUAUCUUUGUCUGAUCUCCUUCAUCCAAAACCAAAACUGAAACGAAAACCAAACCCAAAACAACACAAAGCUCUCACCAAAGUUGACCCAAGCUUAGGUCUUAGUGACAAAUAUUGUCCUUUACUUCAUACAGCCCGCAAUGAUGCAAGCUUUUCGUUUUGUGUACUGACUUUCUGACACACCCACUGCGUAAUUUUAAGUCCUGGACUAUGUAUACAGAGGUUGUUUUCCAUAACAAAGCAAGGCUAAUGGAAUCCUAAUUCCUUCAUAUAGUGGAAUUUUGUGUUUUUCCCAGCAUUCCAAUCAGCAUCAAAAUUUUAUCAGAAAGUUUAUUGAUUGAAGUUAAACUGUACCCAGGCAGCUGUGAUGCUGUUAGUUAUUGCAGGCUCCCUGGGGGUGAUGUUUGGCACAGAAAUCCUUCUGUACAGCCUCCCUAUGCAGUGAUCUCCAACAGAGCCCCUGUUUGCUCUGACUAAUGACAGACUAACCUUCGUUUGAGGACAAGUUGAUAAAAGCAAUUUUUUAGGGGCAAAAAAGAAUGAGCUGCUGAGUUAGUUGAUACAAUGAAUUCCUGAACAGAUGUAGCAAACCCUAGACUACAAAUAGUGCUUGAAAUCUUAAAUCAACACUUCAGACUUGUUGUAGCAUGAUGCAAAUGCAGGAAAGAGUCUUUUUUACUAUUCCUUUACAAUCUAGGAUCAAUGGAAAACAAAAGGCAGAGGACAUCCAUCACAGUCAGAGAAACCAGUACUACUUUUGGAGACGGAGGAAAAACUCUGUAUUAAUUUUUCUCUAAACACCCUGUGGAGGACAUUUGUCAUAUAUAUGGAUCAAAGAAUGGUAUAAAGAGACAAUGCAGAAGAGGAUGCUGAUUCACUAACCCAGUCUUGCCCUCCGAAAAAAUGGUUGCUUAUAUAUCCUGUCUUAGCCGUAUCUCCUAAAAAUGCAACUACAACUUUUAAAACAGGAUAUUGACCUCUAGCAUGAAUAAAACAUACUGCCCUUCCUUAAUACUUUUGUUCUGCUGUAACAGUAGUAGUGCUGACGUGGCUAGAGCAAGGGACAGCAAAGACCUAGGACAGCAAAACUUCAUAGAAACAGACAGUGCUACAUGUCCUUGUGAGACACAGCAGAGACAAGACGCUCCUUCAGAGAGGUCCUAUGGACAUUGAAAAUGUAGUAUCACUCUAUGGUACACAGGUUUUUUUUUUAGUGUGAGUAAUAACAUUUACAUAAUCAGAGAAGAAUCUGGUGACUACAAAGUCUUUUGUUCAUGACAUCAACUGCUGUCAGAGAAAAUGAUGAAAGAGCAGCGUUUUAAGAUUUUACUGAGAAGAUUUUGCUUGCCUCAAGAAGUUUCGGAAGAGUAUGUUUCUGGCAUAAAAGCUGCCCUUAACCUCACAGCAGGAGCACCCUAAGAUGUCUUGGAAAUUGAAGACUACUUUUAUUAUAAAAAAAAGAGAAUUAAUCCAUCACAAGUUGGAAAUGUCUCUUGAAGAUACAUGCUCCUUUCCAUUACAGCGUGGUCAAAUGCCAGCCUGUUUCUUUGAGGACUCUUCUGAAGAUUUUAAGCUAGCUAGUAGCUUGAUUUUACUCUCCCCUGACUUCUUUUUGCAGCAGAUUAGGUCACUGAAAUCUAUGGGAGCUUAGUUGUUAGAAA